rnacentral:misc_RNA from 1 species
GAAAAUUACUUAGAAUUUAGUAGAUAUGAUGUUGAAUAAAUUGGAGAAAACUUAAUUUUUAGAGAUUAGGAUUAGGAUUCUUAGAACUCAAGAAAUAGGGUUUAAAAUAACUUGACAAUCUUACGUUCUCAUGAAAGGAAUAAAAAAAUAAAUCAAACAAACAAAAGAAAACUACUUGCUCACACUAGCAAGAUUUGGACUUGUUGCUAUCAAGAAAGCUUCUCUCGUUGUGGUUAAAAUUGCAUCACAAAAUUCAACAAACGUGAUUGUUGGGAUUUUAC